rnacentral:rRNA from 1 species
GACGUAGGGUCCAAGCGUUGUCCGGAUUUACUGGGCGUAAAGAGCGCGUAGGCGGUCUGUUAAGUGUGAAGUGAAAUCUCCAGGGCUCAACCCGGAAACUGCUUCGCAUACUGGCAGACUUGAGGAAUGCAGAGGUUUGUGGAAUUCCUGGUGUAGCGGUGAAAUGCGUAGAUAUCUGGAGGAACACCGGUGGCGAAGGCGGCAUCCUGGACCGAUACUGACGCUGAGGAGCGAAAGCCAGGGGAGCAAACGGG